rnacentral:rRNA from 1 species
GACGAACGCUGGCGGCGUGCCUAAUACAUGCAAGUCGAACGCAGUGGGGACGGGUGAGUAACACGUGGGUAACCUCCCAUCAGAGGGGAUAACACUUGGAAACAGGUGCUAAACCGAUACUGAUGGAUGGACCCGCGGUGCAUUAGCUAGUUGGUGAGGUAACGGCUCACCAAGGCCACGAUGCAUAGCCGGUCUGAGAGGGGGACCGGCCACACGGGUACUGAGACACGGCCCAGACUCCUACGGGAGGCAGCAGUGGGGAAUCUGCGACAAUGGACGAAAGUCUGAUCGAGCCAGGCCGCGUGAAUGAAGAAGGUUUUCGGGUUGUAAACCACUUUUGUUAGAGAAGCGGUAUCUACCCAGAAAGCCCCGGCUAACUACGUGCCAGCAGCCGCGGUAAUUC